GUCACGUUUGACCAAGCUUCACAACUCGCUUAUUUAAUGGAGCAGUUCUGUAGUACGAAAUUUUGCUGCCAGCAGAGGGAUAGCAGCAGAAAUAUGAAUGUAAAAAAUUUCCCAUAUUUUGGUUGAGUAACCAGCGUAAUUUCCCUUUUUUUUCAGUGUUCAAUGUUGACUUAAGGUACAGUAUAUAAUUAAUAUUCAGAUGUUAUGGUCUCCGUGGUGCGCCUCCAAGCAGGAAAGCGGUGGAAAGUUAAUCUAUUUUCUUUUUUGUCCCAUGGCGAUUAUGUGUUGCGCUAAUAUAUCCCACAAUACAGCUACGGUUGGUUUACCAUGGUUGAAAUAGAUUUUUAAUUAAUCAAAUUAAGACACAUGGCUGAGAGGGAGUACAUCUAAGCAAUGCACAGUAGUCCAGUAGCAGUAAAGGAGGCCAUAAACAUGGCGGCCACGCCAAGUAAUGAUGUCACGACGCCCAAGCCCCACCUACAGGUUACCCGAGGCUGAGGGAAACGUUACAUGCUGCUAAAUAAGACUUGAUUGACCGAGCAUAUGCAGAUCUUUUAAUCGGACCACUGCAACAACAGAUCUACAUGAAAGUUUCAUCAUUCACAGUGGGAGCAGGCCAUGCAGAGUCUCUUCUCGUUCACCAAAAAGGAGCAACAGCGUUGCACAUUCAUAUGGACAGACUGUUACUUGCAAGAGGCCCUGAAGCAGGCAGGGAUGAAUCCGCUGAGCUUUCCUUCAAUGGCUUUAAAAGGCACAUAGUGUCCACUCUGUGCAUAAGCAUGCUGAUCUUACAGUGGUUCAUUGCUAUCAGCCCUGGCUCAGAGCGAAACACUGACUUUUCCAUUACAUUACACUAUUUCCUGUUUUGACUUGAUCUUCUUCACGUCCACUCUCCAAGAUUGCAAAGAAUGAGAUGGAUUGUCUUUAAGAAUCCUUAUUUUAUCAGUCCAAGUCCCUCCUGCAAAACAAUUUGGCAUCCUCUCGGUCUGUCCUGUCCCAUAGGCUGAUGUCUUCCAUCUCUGGGCUGGCUGAGGGAGGAGGGAAAAUACAGGCAUAUUUGACAUUUCCCUGAGCACUUCAUACCAGCUCAUUUCAGCACUGCACCAAGGCAUCUGUAAAUCACAACUGGGACAACGUAUUGCCAAAUGGGCAAAGGUUUGUGAGUGCACUUGUACAAAGGGGACAGGAAAAAUGCACUGAAUGUACUGGGAUAUUCAGAAAUCAUACAUUUGAGCAGUAUCAAAAUGUCCUCAGUUUAGUGGAUUCUGUCAAGCCGUGGCAAUCUUCAGAUGUUAUCGUGUAUUAAUGCAGGGAAUAUUAUCACAUGUAUGAAAGCAAAACACAGAAGUGGUUUUAACCACCUUUUAUACUGAAGUAUUUUUGAGACCUUAACCUAACCCCAACUCCUAAACAUAGUAAUGGAUUUAGUUACCAAACACUUUUAAAAAUAAAGCUUAUUUAGAUUGUUAAAAUGUUCUUUAAACAAAAAAAGACACUAAGAAACAAAUGGUUCUUUUAAGAACUGUUCACUGAAAGAUUCUUUGGGCAACCCAUGAUGGUUCUUCUAUGGCAAGGAUGCAAAACCCUUACUUUUAAGAGUGUUUAAAAUUAAAUGAUAAAAUGAAAUGAAUUACCCUGAAGGCAUUUUUGAUUAUGAACUAUCCUUUUAGGGUUGAACAACUUUGGCAAAAACUUGAAAAAUGUGAGUAUUUGCAUUUAAGUAUAUUCUUUACACUCAAACCACUUAAAGUAACCAUAAAGCGAAUAGAGUUUAAAAAAAAAAAGAGUUAUUAGUCUGUAUCUCAGUCCUGACAUUGUGCAGUCCUCCCUGAAAUAUAUAUUUCAAGUUUACUGAAGUAUUGUUGCUCAUUUCACAUACAAAGAUGUUAGCCGAUCAUAAAAAUUGACUUUAAUUGUCUUAAAGGAGAAGCAGUUUAACAAAAAGGGUUGGCACAAGGUUGAAAAGUGUGAAAUUAAAUGGCUAUGACAUUGUUUUAGCAAAAACAUUUUUAGGUGGUUUGAUGGCUGAAAAUAAUACAGAAAAACUUUUGUAGCAGAAUACAGCCCCUUUAAUAUUUGCUGGUAUGUGUAUAUACUCAUAUGCCUCAGUGAUGAAGGUCUUUCUCUGCCUGUCUGAAAUACAAACAUUUUGUGAACUCUUGACUCCUGACUUGCUCUCAAGUGAUUUAAUUCAUAAACCUAUUCAUCUGCGUACAACUUAAUUUAGUCAAACCUCCAUGAAGGCAUGCAAUCAUAAAACAUUCCUCUCUUUUUAGGAUAAAUACAAUGUAGAGAGU